CACUCGUCUGAUAAAUACCAAAAGUUCUGCGCAGAUAACAUAGCUUGAUUCUGGUACAAAGAGAUAUGCCCCCUUCCUUGUCAGAUUUGAAGCCACCGGACUUUUUUAUACGGGUAACAUUGGAGAGGGAAAUCAUCCGGACCUCACACACAAAUGUGGACUCCCUGAAGUACUCCAUUGUGGUUUUAUGAGACAAUUUUCCGGAGGAGUUUCUCAUCAACUCCUGCAUAUCCUUCUACCGACGUGUAGAGGCUGUGAUUAUAAUAAGGGUGGCCAUAUACAGGGAGAAAAGUUUUGCAAAAACCAUGUCUACAUGUUUUGUUAACAUUAUUUUUUGCCUAUUAUUGAAAAUACAAAAUAAUUAAUAUAUUUCUAAACCCAUUUCUAGUCCACGUUUUACUGCCCUACCCUUUAUAUAUGUAACAUAGAUUGUUCUGUUUUCGAAUGUAUGGGAUUGUGGAAAAGUAAUUUCGUAUUUGCUGUACUUUUUUUUGACUUGUUCAUUACUUGUUACAUCGGAUCAUACGAUAAAGUGUUGUUAAGACGUAAGUAUUAACUAAAAACUCUUCUAGGACACUAUUGCUGGUGGACUUUUCAGUCUUGAAGUAUUGUGGGUCAAGUACUGAGGUAUAAAAGGAAGAAAUUUGCCAUAUUUUACAUUUUAACUCCUGAGAGGAAGAAAAAGCGUCAAAAGUUAUGAAGAGAAUUUGCAAUGUAUGCUGGUCCGAUACUCUUUUGGUUUCGUGUUGUACAAUAGUGGUUUGAGUGGUCCCCCCCCCCUCAAUUCUGCUCUCUACCGGUUGAAGUUGGCGAUCGAACAGAAGUGGCCAGCAUUACUAAAUAAGAGACAACGCCAGGCCGCACACAUCUUUUGAUGAAUCGCCAGAAGGCCUUGGAGCUCGGAUAAGAUGUUCUUAUGUAUCCAACCUACAUUUGAGACCUGACACCAAGUGACACCACCUGUUCCUGUCUAUGACCAACAAACUGGGGGGGGGAGCACAUUUGGCUACAAAAGAAGCCUGUGAAAAUAGGUUGUCCAUUUUUUUUUGCCAAUAGGGACAUGGAAUUUUUUCAAGGAGGGGAUUCUGAAGUGGGAUUUUCGUUGGGAAUAAGUUAUCAAACAGUACAAGGUACCUUUGGGUUAAAUCAAAUGAUUGUAACACUUCUUAUAUAUCCAAAUCUAUGAAAUAACUUUUUCCAAAAUCUAUUAUUAUCUUUUCAUAUUUAUUAUUAUUUGGUAUAAUGAAUAAGAAUAAUGGGCCUCUUGGGUUCCAUCAUUUAGAAGGUAUCAAAAGGGUUCAAGGAGUUGUCGUAUUCCUGUUUCAUCAAAGAUAAAAUUCCACCUUUUUGUUCAAUAACUCUCAAAUUAUUUAAUUUGCUCCAUUUCUAUACUGAUAAACCAAUUACUAAAAAACCUAAUAAAUACAAUUUUUAAUUCAUUGAUAACAAUGUGCAGGGCACUUUUUUGAAAUGGCAUUGUCUUCAGAAUAUUUUAGAACCACUUUUAUCGAAUGGCGUUUGCUUUUAUUUUUAUAACGACCUAUCUUUAGAAAAAACCUUUUAUCGCCACUUUUAAACAACUGUGUCCUUGUUACAAUUAAUGAGUUUUAAAGAAAAUAGUUCCUUUUUUUUUCAAAAGGUCAAUCUUUUUUCUAGUACAUGGUGAUUAUUCGUGAUGUAGUAAAAAGAAAAUCAAGGCAAAGAUCUUCAAGCUGUUCAGAACAAGGCCAAGACAAUUCAAUGAGAUAUUGGCAAAGUAUAAUUAUGCAAUUGUUUGGCUCGGUAUUGUGUGAGCUUGUGUCAUAGAUGGAUACCAGCAAAGACAUAAUAUGGAAUAUUUUACGAUAAAGCCAAUAACGCAAGACAGGCGCCUAAAAAUGGGAAUAAUGUUUAUGGUUUUGAUAUUGUAACAGCCGAUCAAGUGCAAUUUUUGUUUCUUCGAUCCCGUUUCAGUAACUUCGAUGGCAAAGAUGAAGGACGUUUGGAAGACCAAUGGUCAAAAUCUGCAUAAAAUGAUGGAAAUUGUCAAGUCCGACCUUUAUAUAUGAGCAGAUGAACGGGAAAAGUGUAUAUGGGUUAUAUAGUCUACUAACAACCAACUGAUUUUAGGAAAAUUUCUUGUUUCUUUUAUGAAGAAAAUUUGGAAGAUCCAAUAAAGGCAACGACUCAAUAAUCAUUACUUAUUGAGAUUCUUAUGAAAUCUGCACGAAGUAGAAAAGAAAAAUUAUAUUUAUAGGACCAUCUAAAUUUAAUUAGCAUAUACAUUUUUUAAUGGAAGCAUAAUCAUUUAUAAUAUUUAAAGAUGUAGCGUGUCGCUAUUGUGAAAAUCAAUCAAUGAACUAAAAUAAAUAUUAGUUCUUCUCUUUAAAUUAUA
rnacentral:lncRNA from 1 species